AGUAGCUAUCUCUCGGGGUAGUCAAUUGGUUAUUAUAUCUCCACUAAUGAGCAGAGAGGAGUAAAAUCUUCAAGUAAGUUUAUGUGGAUCAAGGUAUAAUGAUUAAUUGGAGUUCUAGUUCAUUUACUUUGAGAAAAUUAGAGUGUUUAAAGCAGCCUCUUGGGGCACUGAAUACAUUAGCAUGGGAUAAUAAAAUAGGAUCUUCACAAUAUAUUUUAUUGGUUUAAAUUGGAUAUGAAGAUAAUGAUUAAUAGGGACAGUUGGGGGUAUUCAUAUUGGGUGGUUAGCGGUGAAAUGCUCGGAUCCAUUCAAGAUGAACUAAAGCGAAAGCAUUUACCAAGGAUGUUUCAUUAAUCAAGAACGAAAGUUAAGGGGAUCGAAGACGAUUAGAUACCGUCGUAGUCUUAACUAUAAACUAUGCCGACCAGGG
rnacentral:rRNA from 1 species